AAAUUGAAGAGUUUGAUCAUGGCUCAGAUUGAACGCUGGCGGCAGGCCUAACACAUGCAAGUCGGACGGUAGCACAGAGAGCUUGCUCUCGGGUGACGAGUGGCGGACGGGUGAGUAAUGUCUGGGGAUCUGCCCGAUAGAGGGGGAUAACCACUGGAAACGGUGGCUAAUACCGCAUAACGUCG
rnacentral:rRNA from 1 species